UGAGGAAUAUUGGUCAAUGGGCGGGAGCCUGAACCAGCCAAGCCGCGUGAGGGAUGAAGGCCCUAUGGGUCGUAAACCUCUUUUGUCAGGGGACAAAAGCGAGUAUGUAUACUAGUCUGAGUGUACCUGAAGAAAAAGCAUCGGCUAACUCCGUGCCAGCAGCCGCGGUAAUACGGAGGAUGCGAGCGUUAUCCGGAUUUAUUGGGUUUAAAGGGUGCGUAGGCGGCGAUGCAAGUCAGCGGUAAAAGCCCGGGGCUCAACCCCGGGCGAGCCGUUGAAACUGCAGUGCUAGAGAAGGCGAGAGGUACGCGGAAUGCGCAGUGUAGCGGUGAAAUGCUUAGAUAUUGCGCAGAACUCCGAUUGCGAAGGCAGCGUACUGGCGCCUGACUGACGCUGAGGCACGAAAGCGUGGGGAUCGAACAGGAUUAGAUACC
rnacentral:rRNA from 1 species